UUUUAAAAAAAAAAUUAGUUGUGAAUUGAAUCACCACUUUUGAAAGAAAUAUUACUACCACAAAUGCAGCAAAUCCUAACCACUACGGAGAAUAAUAAAGCUAUCAUUGAUAAUUUCCCCAGGUGGAGGUGCAAACAUUGACGAUCUUAUUUGUAUAAAUUCUAUAUCGAACCAAUAAGAAUCAUUCUAAUGGAUAUAUUAUCGGUAGAAAUUAAUGAAAUAUACUAGGUGAUGUUCGAGUUUCAUGGAAGUGUAAUUAAUAUACAACAACAUACAAUCUUUUGAACAUUAACUUACAUCAAACUCUACGACAGCCCUUCAAAAAAAAAAAAUCAAACUCUACGACAGAAGAUUUUGAAGAAAAAAAAGGAAAAAAUACAAGGUGAUUGAUGCUUUACAACAAACACUGUACAAGACUUCAAUGUGUGCAGGAGCAGAAUAAUGAUCCACUCAGCCACUUCUAAAUCACGGUUCCUUAUUGUUGAGUCGUUGCUAGUUUAUUAUCAUGGAUUCCGUGUCAUGGUUCCUUAUUGUAGAGUGACUUGAGUCUAGCCGAUCGAGAUGAACUGCUCUCCACGAACAUGAGUUAGAAGACUUAAGCAACAAGCCCAGAGCAGCAGAACAUGUUGCCCUUACAACGGCAUCAGGUGAUCGACUCAUUUUUCCAACCAGCAUACCAAAUACCUGAAACAAGGGUCAGUAUUUCUGUUAAACUUCAAAUUCAAAUGGGACCCACAUGAUAUGGAGAGACCCCUAUGAAUUCUAAGCAGUAUACAAGAUAGUGUGUUGAAAAGUGCGUGUUAGAGUGUAUUUCUAGCACUUCUCAGAAGAAAAUACCUGUGUAUGGUAGUCAGCUAAAAUGUGCUGAUUGUCCGAUAGAGAGAGCAUGCUGCUGCUUAAGUACAUAGCAUUUGCUUGAAUUAUGGGCCAUGGUGCAUCAAAAGCCUGCAUCAUCAAGAAAGUAUUCCGCUAAGUUCUCAAGACCUUUAGAUUUAAACAGAUGGAAAAAUAAUUGACAUUGCAUUGGUUUUGAAGUCUUCUAAAGGCUUCGUUGUUGUAGGAUUAUUCCAUGCUUCAUAAUAUUCUCAAUGGGGGAGAAUCAAGAAGAAAUUUCAUGAAAUGAAAAUCCAGCUAACAUUGUAGCAUGAUCAGGAGGAACCAAUUGAUUUAAUAUUAAUUUCAGUUAGGAAAAUAAUCAGGAAUGGUUAUAUGGUGAAAAGCAUGCAUGUAUUGGAAUAAUAAGUUAUGAUGUACAGAAACAUGUGGUGAAAAAGAACCUGCACUGUUGACGCCAUAUAAGUAUCAACUCUGGAAAGAAGAUGCUGUGUAAAUUGCUUUGCAAUGUCUCGUAGAAAGUCCUCAUAGUCACUUCUAAAAAACCAAAAAGACAGAUGCAAUAUUACCUCAGGAUAAUUCUUAAAAAUAAUCUGCAAAGUUCAACUUUUAAAAUCUUCCAAACCAUACCGGUGAUCAGAAAGGAAACUCGGUGUGUUUAGCAGGGCAAGCAAUCCUUCAAUUUCCAUCAAUGGGAAAACUCGUCUCAGAGUAUUCUGUAAGCAAGUAUGUUUCAGAAAGAAAUAAUUUACCAUGUUAGAAAUUUUUCUAUAAAUCUCCAAUUCAAGAAAAAUCCAAGAUGAUGACUGAUUACCCGGCAGGCUAGUCGGACACUAACAUCUUCAUCAUGAAGAUGCAAAACCAGACGAGGAAUAGCAGCAUGUACCUGUGAAAAACAGUCAUUAUAAUCGAAUGAGCUAGCUAAAAUAUUAAGAAACUAAUAUAUGACAAUCACCAGUUCCACAGGCCUAUCAUCAAGUAUGAGAUUCACCAAAAUAAUGAGAAAGCUCCAUGAAUAUACUUGUCACUUGGUUGAAAACAUCACAAGUACAUGUGACAAUAUUGCACAUGGUAACACUUUUUUUAACAAUGCUACUAACACUGUUAUAUACCUGCUCAACAAAUGCUUCUUUUAG
rnacentral:lncRNA from 1 species